rnacentral:sRNA from 1 species
GUUUGCACUUGUCGGGGAAGGGUGAGAACCUUCGAUUAAGGUUCGACUCGAGCGAAAGAACGUUGCCGACGGUAACGGCCCGUAGGGUGAGGAGUGAAGCGACGAAUAAUCCUUCCUCCACCACCA